AUGCCUAAAUCAAAGGAACUUGUUUCUUCAAGCUCUUCUGGCAGUGAUCCUGACAGUGAGGUUGACAAAAAGUUAAAGAGGAAAAAGCAAGUUGCUCCAGAAAAACCUGUAAAGAAGCAAAAGACAGGUGAAACUUCGAGAGCUCUGUCAUCUUCUAAACAGAGCGGCAGCAGCAGAGAUGAUAACAAGUUUCAGAUUGGGAAAAUGAGGUACGUUAGCGUUGGAGAUUUUAAAGGGAAAGUGCUAAUUGAUACUAGAGAAUAUUGGAUGGAUCCUGAAGGCGAAAUGAAACCAGGAAGAAAAGGUAUUGCUUUAAAUCCAGAACAAUGGAGCCAGCUGAAGGAACAGAUUUCUGUCAUUGAUGAUGCAGUAAGAAAACUGU
rnacentral:lncRNA from 1 species